CCUGCCGGACGGGCAGCCGCUGGCUCGCGCGGGGAAACCUGAUGCGGGCGGGAGGAAAGUCCGGUCUCCACAGGACAACAUGCCGGCUAACGGCCGGGGGGGCUCGCUCAAAGCGGGCUUUACGGAAAGUGCCACAGAAAACUAUACCGCCGGGCAGGCAACUGCCAGGUAAGGGUGAAAAGGUGCGGUAAGAGCGCACCGC
rnacentral:RNase_P_RNA from 1 species